rnacentral:rRNA from 1 species
UGCGUAGGCGGCUGUGCAAGUCUGGCGUGAAAGCCCCGGGCUCAGCCCGGGAAGUGCGCUCGAAACUGCACGGCUCGAGUGCCGGAGGGGAGAGUGGAAUUCCUGGUGUAGCGGUGAAAUGCGUAGAUAUCAGGAGGAAUACCGGUGGCGAAAGCGACUCUCUGGACGGCAACUGACGCUGAGGCAAGACUGGGGAGGCAAACA